AAACUGGAGAGUUUGAUUCUGGCUCAGAACGAACGCUGGCGGAGUGCUUUAGACAUGCAAGUCGUACGAGAACGUCGCCUUCGGGUGGCUAGUAAAGUGGCGCACGGGUGAGUAACGCGUGGGUAAUCUGCCUUCGAGACUGGGACAACCCCGGGAAACUGGAGCUAAUACCAGAUAAGACCACGAGGUCUUCGGAUCAUGUGGGAAAAGGUGGCCUCUCCUUGGAAGCUACCGCUCGGAGAUGAGCCUGCGUCGCAUUAGCUAGUUGGUGAGGUAACGGCUCACCAAGGCUACGAUGCGUAGCUGGUCUGAGAGGACGAUCAGCCACACUGGAACUGAGACACGGUCCAGACUC
rnacentral:rRNA from 1 species